CAAAUUUUAAAUCUACCUGGGUUUCCAGGUCGAGUUGUAAUUUGAAGAAGUGUUUUUUACUUUCCGGGUUGGGUUAAAUCCUUUGGGAUAAGGUAUCAUGGAGGGUGAGAAUCCCGUGUAUACCAACCGCAGGAUYGUUUAAUAUACACUUUCUAAGAGUCGAGUUGUUUGGGAAUGCAGCUCUAAAUGGGUGGUAAAUUUCACCUAAUGCUAAAUAUAAGCGAGAGACCGAUAGCGAACAAGUACCGUGAGGGAAAGAUGAAAAGAACUUUGAAAAGAGAGUUAAAUAGUACGUGAAAUUGUUGAAAGGGAAACGGUUGAAGUCAGUCAUGCCGGCGGGAAUCAACUUAGGGGAAACUCUGAGUGCACUUCUUCGCUUGGCAGGUUAGCGUCGAUUUUGGAUGUCAUAAAAUGACUGGGGGAAGGUAGCUCUUUCGGGAGUGUUAAGCCCUURGUAGAUGUGAUGUCCGGGAUCGAGGAUUGCAACGGAUACCUUUUGGGCUAACCGCCUAGUCUCUAAUACGAAGUUGGGUUAUGGACAGCACGCUGACUGUGAUCUGAUUUUCGGUUAAAAGAUUAG
rnacentral:rRNA from 1 species